rnacentral:rRNA from 1 species
GACCGGAACACCCCCGGAAAACUGGGGCUAAUUCUCGAUAGGUGAAGAACUCUGGAAUGAGUCUUUGCCUAAAAGUUGUCAGGGUUAUGCUCUCUGAUAACGCCCAAGGAUGAGGCCGCGACCGAUCAGGUUGUUGGUGAGGUAAUGGCUCACCAAGCCAUUUACCGGUGCGGGCCGUGAGAGCGGGAGCCCGGAGAUGGGCACUGAGACAAGGGCCCAGGCCCUACGGGGCGCAGCAGUCGCGAAAACUUUGCAAUAAGCGAAAGCUUGACAGGGCUAUCCCGAGUGCCAUCCGCUGAGGAAGGCUUUUACCCAGUCUAGAACGCUGGGGGAAUAAGGAGAGGGCAAGUCUGGUGUCAGCCGCCGCGGUAAUACCAGCUCUCCGAGUGGUGUGGAUGUUUAUUGGGCCUAAAGCAUCCGUAGCUGGCUAAGUUAGUCCCUUGUUAAAUCCACCGAAUUAAUCGUUGGAUUGCGGGGGAUACUGCUUGGCUAGGGGACGAGAGAGGCAGACGGUAUUUCCGGGGUAGGGGUGAAAUCCUAUAAUCCCGGGAAGACCACCAGUGGCAAAGGCUGUCUGCUAGAACGCGCCCGACGGUGAGGGAUGAAAGCUGGGGGAGCGAACCGGAUUAGAUACCCGGGUAGUCCCAGCUGUAAACGAUGCAGGCUAGGUGUUUGGACGGCCACGUGCCGUUCUAGUGCCGCAGGGAAGCUGUUAAGCCUGCCGCCUGGGGAGUACGAUCGCAAGAUUGAAACUUAAAGGAAUUGGCGGGGGAGCACA